GUCCAUCUAGCUCAAUUGGUAGAGCACAAAGCUUUGAACCUUGUGGUCGUGGGUUCAAGCCCCACGGUUUGCA
rnacentral:tRNA from 1 species